rnacentral:tRNA from 1 species
UCCCAGCUAGCUCAGCUGGUAAAGAAUCUGCCUGCACUGCAGGAGACCUGAGUUCGAUCCCUGGGUUGGGAA